rnacentral:rRNA from 1 species
UGGGGAAUUUUGCGCAAUGGACGAAAGUCUGAUGCAGCAACGCCGCGUGAUCGAUGACGCUUCUAGGAGUGUAAAGAUCUGUCGUGAGGGAAGAGAAGCUCGGAUGUAAAUAAUGUUCAGGUGUGACGGUACCUUACAAGAAAGCACCGGCUAACUUCGUGCCAGCAGCCGCGGUAAUACGAGGGGUGCUAGCGUUGUCCGGAAUAACUGGGCGUAAAGGGUCCGUAGGCGUUUUGCCAAGUUGAUCGUUAAAUCCACCGGCUCAACCGGUGAUCUGCGAUCAAAACUGGUAGAAUAGAAUAUGUGAGGGGAAUGUGGAAUUCCUGGUGUAGCGGUGACAUGCGUAGAUAUCAGGAGGAACACCAAUGGCGAAGGCAGCAUUCUGGCACAAUAUUGACGCUGAGGGACGAAAGCGUGGGGAGCGAACAGGAUUAGAUACCCUGGUAGUCCACGCCGUAAACGAUGAGUACUUGAUGGUGGGGGAUUCGACCCCUUCACUAUCGGAGCUAAC